UAAAUUUUACUUGCUACAUGAUGACUUGGCAUUCAAUGAUUGGAAGGUUGCAAUCUUGGGCCACCACAUCCAAAUAUAGUGUAAGCACUUAAAUAUGUAAGUAUAUAUGUAAAUAUGUACAUAUACAUAUAUAUGUAUAUAUCUAUGUAUAUGUAUAUGUAUAUCUAUAUACAUGUAUAUAUACAUAUAUAUAUAUAUGAUAUAUAUGUAUAUGUAUAUCUAUACAUAUGUGUAUGUAUAUGUGUGUGUAUGUGUAUG
rnacentral:lncRNA from 1 species